ACUUUUUCUCACAACCAUGUUGCUUGUUUAUUUGUUGUUUAUACCCGUAAUUGAAUUGUUUAGAAAGGCCGAACAAAGAUCCUUUGUUUUCCAUCGAGUUGGGCUUUCUGAAGGAUACUAAAAUAAUACUGUGGAAUCGAUUUACCUUGACUCAUCCAUCAACUCUUCCUCUAACCGACAAACAUCGAGGCAAUUCUCAUUGGAAAUUCGAGGCACUGCAAGAAGCCAUUGAAAAUAGCAUCUAACAUCAGUAAACAAUCUGCAUUUUCAGUUACAAGACAAUGCAUAUAGCUUGCCAGCCAAAGGAUAUAAGCAUUGCCUGCAGGACCUGCGUGUGUGUCUGAGGAAUCUUAUGCUGCACACAUGACUGAGCUCGAGGAUGCGAAAAAUUGGGACGGCAUCGGCAUGCCGUCUCAAGGAGUCGGCUCCGCAGUCUGGCGUCCUGGCGACGAUUCAACUACAGCAUAGACAGCCUUAAGUUUUGAUAUAUUUGCAUGCUGCAACAAAAUUGCAACGCAGACAAUGCGGGAAAUCUUUCGGUAAUGAACUUUAAUGGUGUCGACACAAAGUUUUCGACAGCGAAAAUAGUCCUUACUGAAUAUGCAUUCAGUAAUGAAUA
rnacentral:sRNA from 1 species